rnacentral:rRNA from 1 species
GCUUGCUACCUGACCUAGCGGCGGACGGGUGAGUAAUGCUUAGGAAUCUGCCUAUUAGUGGGGGACAACAUUCCGAAAGGAAUGCUAAUACCGCAUACGCCCUACGGGGGAAAGCAGGGGAUCUUCGGACCUUGCGCUAAUAGAUGAGCCUAAGUCAGAUUAGCUAGUUGGUGGGGUAAAGGCCUACCAAGGCGACGAUCUGUAGCGGGUCUGAGAGGAUGAUCCGCCACACUGGGACUGAGACACGGCCCAGACUCCUACGGGAGGCAGCAGUGGGGAAUAUUGGACAAUGGGCGAAAGCCUGAUCCAGCCAUGCCGCGUGUGUGAAGAAGGCCUUUUGGUUGUAAAGCACUUUAAGCGAGGAGGAGGCUACUUAGAUUAAUACUCUAGGAUAGUGGACGUUACUCGCAGAAUAAGCACCGGCUAACUCUGUGCCAGCAGCCGCGGUAAUACAGAGGGUGCGAGCGUUAAUCGGAUUUACUGGGCGUAAAGCGUGCGUAGGCGGCUUCUUAAGUCGGAUGUGAAAUCCCUGAGCUUAACUUAGGAAUUGCAUUCGAUACUGGGAAGCUAGAGUAUGGGAGAGGAUGGUAGAAUUCCAGGUGUAGCGGUGAAAUGCGUAGAGAUCUGGAGGAAUACCGAUGGCGAAGGCAGCCAUCUGGCCUAAUACUGACGCUGAGGUACGAAAGUAUGGGGAGCAAACAGGAUUAGAUACCCUGGUAGUCCAUGCCGUAAACGAUGUCUACUAGCCGUUGGGGCCUUUGAGGCUUUAGUGGCGCAGCUAACGCGAUAAGUAGACCGCCUGGGGAGUACGGUCGCAAGACUAAAACUCAAAUGAAUUGACGGGGGCCCGCACAAGCGGUGGAGCAUGUGGUUUAAUUCGAUGCAACGCGAAGAACCUUACCUGGUCUUGACAUAGUAAGAACUUUCCAGAGAUGGAUUGGUGCCUUCGGGAACUUACAUACAGGUGCUGCAUGGCUGUCGUCAGCUCGUGUCGUGAGAUGUUGGGUUAAGUCCCGCAACGAGCGCAACCCUUUUCCUUAUUUGCCAGCGGGUUAAGCCGGGAACUUUAAGGAUACUGCCAGUGACAAACUGGAGGAAGGCGGGGACGACGCCAAGUCAUCAUGGCCCUUACGACCAGGGCUACACACGUGCUACAAUGGUCGGUACAAAGGGUUGCUACCUAGCGAUAGGAUGCUAAUCUCAAAAAGCCGAUCGUAGUCCGGAUUGGAGUCUGCAACUCGACUCCAUGAAGUCGG